AGGCCAGCUCUGGGGUCUCGGCAGGUGGUCCGCAACAUGACCUCUGAGUUCUUCGCUGCCCAGCUCCGGGCCCAGAUCUCUGACGACACCACUCACCCGAUCUCCUACUACAAGCCCGAGUUCUACACGCCGGUUGAUGGGGGCACUGCUCACCUGUCUGUCGUCGCAGAGGACAGCAGUGCUGUGUCUGCCACCAGCACCAUGAACCUCUACUUUGGCUCCAAGGUCCGCUGCCCGGUCAGCGGGAUCCUGUUCAAUGAUGAAAUGGAUGACUUCAGCUCUCCCAACAUCACCAACGAGUUUGGGGUGCCCCCCUCACCUGCCAAUUUCAUCCAGCCAGGGAAGCAGCCGCUCUCGUCCAUGUGCCCGACGAUCAUGGUGGGCCAGGACGGCCAGGUCCAGAUGGUUGUGGGAGCUGCUGGGGGCACACAGAUCACCACAGCCACUGCACUGGUAUGUGUCACACCUUUUCUCCCUGGCCGUGCCCACCCUCCACAGCCCCCAAGCCACGCUGAUCACACUCCCAUGCCCCAGGCCAUCAUCUACAACCUCUGGUUCGGCUAUGACGUGAAGCGGGCCGUGGAGGAGCCCCGGCUGCACAACCAGCUUCUGCCCAACGUCACGACAGUGGAGAGAAACAUUGACCAGGCAGUGACUGCAGCCCUGGAGACCCGGCACCAUCACACCCAGAUCGCGUCCACCUUCAUCGCUGUGGUGCAAGCCAUCGUCCGCAUGGCUGGUGGCUGGGCAGCUGCCUCGGACUCCAGGAAAGGCGGGGAACCUGCCGGCUACUGAGUGCUCCAGGCGGACAAGGCUGACAAGCAAUCCAGGGACAAGAUACUCACCAGGACCAAGAAGGGGACUCCGGGGGACCGGCUUCCCCUGUGAGCAGCAGAGCAGCACAAUAAAUGAGGCCACUGUGCCAGGCUCCAGGUGGCCUCCCUGGCCUGUC
rnacentral:sRNA from 1 species